CCCUGUGGGCGGCUGAUCGUGGCUCUGCCCGGGGGCAGCCGUGCCCCUCGGGGUUUUCCCCUGCGGCUGCCGGCGUGCUGCUGCUUGUGCUCCUGCUCCCUUCAGCACCCGCCGCCCGCUUUCCGCAGAGUCCUGAGGCUUCGCCCUGCCGCCUCCAUCUUGUGCCGCCUCCGGGAGAGAGGAGAUGGGGCUGCGCUUUGAAGAGGACAGGGAACGAGCCAAGCCGGGAAAGGAAGGACAUGUCUAUUUUUGCUUUUCAGCAGCUGCUGCUGGAGUUGUUUCAUGUGAUGCUCCCCGGGACCCUCGCUUAGUGCUUAGGAAAUCUGGUUUAGCAGUUACAGUUAGGGACAGGAUUCAAGUUUGGAUAUUCUUAUUCUUACCUUUGCUUGUUGUCAUUUAGGACUUCUGCGGCUAUGAAAUGGUGAAAGCGAGUCCAGAGAAGGGCAAGGGAGCUGGUGAAGGGUCUGGAGCCCAAGUCCUACGAGGAGUGGCUGAGGGAGCUGGGGUUGUUUAGCCUGAGGAAAAGGAGGCUCGGUGACCUUCUCUCUCUCUAGAAUUCCCUGAAAGGAAGGUGUAGGUUGGCCUCUUCUUCCAGGCAAUCAGCAGCAAGACAGUCUUAAGAUGUGCCAGAGGAGGUUUAGAUUGGACAUUAGGAGGAAAUGGACAUUGAGAUGGUCUGCCCGGGGAGGUAGUGGCAUCACCAUCGGUGGAGGUGUUAAUUAAAGACUGGAUGUGGCACUCAGUGCCAUGGUCUAUUUGAUACGGUGGUGUCUGGUCAUACGUUGAACUUGGUGAUCUCAGAGGUCUUUUCCAACCUAAUUGCUUCUCUUUUUUUGUGAAAACAGACUUGGUACGUACUGCCCAGAGAGGCUGCAGGGGUUUUUUCAUCUGUAGAGCAUCUCAAGAGGCCUGUACAAAGCAUUACAGAUAAACAUCAUGCUUUGCAAAACAUUGCUGUUUCCUCAAAGAGGAGGCCAUCCUUUUCUAUAAGAAACAAAGUUGGAAGCUUCUUCAUGCUAAAUGUUAAAACCGGAAAGGGAUAAUGCUUUUGUUAACAUCAGGAGAUUUUCAAGCAAUGCUGCCUUGGAAUAGGACACAAGAAGCAGAGAAAUUGCAAAUGGACCCACUCUUCUGUCUAUAAUCGUGAAGCAAGUCCCUUAUGUUAGAUAUUUUGUGUAUAAAACUGUAUAUCAAAGGGUUAUUCACAGCUUGUCAAGGCUGACAUAAAACACUGGCCCCUCAGUACCUCAUUACAGUAGAGCAACUUCAGGACUGUAUUCCAAAUUCCUUGGCUCUGUGAAUUUACUUGUAGACAAUUCAACUUUGAAUGCUGGUUUACUUUCUUAAAGGCCCAUCCCUUGCCUGAAGCAACAACUUUUUUAGGUUAGUGGGUCAGCUGAAGAUGUGUCUGAACUAAAAAAUGCUGUCAUAGCUUUGUUCCUGACAGAUGCCGUCUAUAUCAGUACAUCUGUAGGAUAUGACUUCCCGUAAUGGAUUGAUCCACACCCUAAAGAUACCCAGCAGGCUGUAAAGACCCUCAUUUUGCUAAAGAGCUUUACAAUGUGAUACCUUAUUAUAAUUAUUGAUGUGGCAACAAAAACCACUUUUUAAUAGAGUUCCCUGGCAUUUCUCAUGAUCAAAUUCAAUUUUCCUUUCUUGUAUCUUAUUUCAUUAAAACUCCAUGAUUUCCAUGCUGAAUUUUUUCCAUGCUGCCUUGGGGUAAUGAGGUGUGUAAACUGUACUUUGGCCAAAAAAUGAUUCUUUGUUGGCUCCACCCUCUGACAUUUUUCCACUUUAAGGAUUUCAGAGAUGACUAAAUACAGGUCGCCUGGACCUCUUUUUUUCUUAUGUGGAAUGGAUCCAGAUGGAAACCAAGUUGAGGAGGAGCAAUGGAAUAACUGAAUGGGUUCUUGAGACUGCUGCAAGAUGCCAAGGCAUAGCCUGACAGAUAAGUACUCUUUGGAGUCAUAUUAGACCAAAGAGGUGUAGUCCCACUAUUAACUGCAUUAAAUUGGACUAAAUUUGAGAUGUUGCCACAUUUUCCUUUGUUCACCAUGAGCUGCCUGGCCUUACUGCCUUUGAUCUGUCGAGUCUUGGCACCUGGAAGACUGUGUAGGGAACCAACUCUGGAGACUGAUGUGGGUGAAAACUGACUUGUCAAAAAAUAAAAUAUAAAAGUUUUCAGGUCACUGCAUAGCUGCCUGAAGACUGGUACUCACUCAUGGGAGGUGACAGGUAUAUGUGGCUGAGGGAAAAAGCUCAAGGUUCAGGUUCAUGGAACUUGCUUUGAUUAGAGAGUAUGUGUAGGUAAAAUAUUGGCUAAUGUUUAGUUAUAUUUCUAAGAAAUUUCUGUGAACUACAGGUAUAAAGAGUGGACAGCCUUACAAGCGUUAGAAGUUGGGUUGGUUAUUACUAUAUCAAGUGUUCUUUGCCUGAGAUCUCCAUAUUGCUAUGGACUGAAGCUGUGUGAGAGCUGGCCAGAGCCUCUAGCACCCUGUUGUGUGCUGUGGAAUGCACUGCGAGGGCAAAGUGGUGAGGUUUGGUCUGAAGGUAUCUUGUUUAUUUGUUGGUUUUUUUUUUAAUAUAUGUCAUAAACCAGAUAUUCCAAAGAAAAAUAUUCCAAAAUACACAAGGCUCUGAGGAAAUACUUCAUCCUCGGCAUUAAACUUUGGCAGUCCUGUCUAUGAUCAGUACUUUGGAAAAGGGACUCAAAGCAUAUCUGGUAGAUUGAUCUGUAUAUGUCAAGGACAUAUCCUGUCGCUUUGGUGAAAGUGGGCUACAGUCAACUAAACUGUAAGCAAUCAAAUAAGAUUCCUAUUUCCUACAAAAAAUCUUUUCUGAUGAGCUUUCUGCUUAGAUCUGUGGGCCAUAGGGUUAGGUUUUGGCUUUUGGUAAUUUUUUUUAUUAAUAACUUUUCCAGAACAAGACUGGGUUGGUGAACUGGGGUGUUGUCUAUCUGUUUGGUUUUUUUUAUAGCCACUUGGCUGUAGGGCACACCAGGUGCUCAGAUGUAUGAGUAAACUGUCCACACCCUUGAGAGUUACUGCACAAUGUCUGAGUGGAUUUACUUUGCAUGUUGCAAAAUGUCAGAAAAGUGCACUAGUUUAGCUGCCUGUGACAAAGGCUGAGCCAAAUUAAUUUUACCUCACAUUAACCUUGAGAUAAGAUGGUGUAAUUUGCUGCAAGAUGAAUUACUGCUACUCUGUUGAUGGACUUGUUAUGCUGUGAUGACUUGCUGAUGUGUUUGAACUGUAAAAUCAGACGGGGGAAGUAGAAAAUUUAGCAGGGUAGGAUUAGGCACUAGUUGGGAGCAGAGCAGUAGCUGAACAAAGACAAGAUUGAUUGGACAUGAAUGCGUGAUUUUAGAGGAGAAACUUGGCUGGCUGAGAAAAGAAAAAAUAGUAGGAGAGUGGGGUGGUAGAGAAGCAGUGUGACAUGGGGAGGAGGGAGAGACCGUGAGCAGCCAGUAGAGCAGAACUGAAGAGGUUCAGGCAAGAAAAUGGGAGACCUAGGUGAGGAGCUGAAAAAGUGAGGAAGGGUGUGGAAAAGCAGGAUUAGGGAGGAUAAAGCAAAGAAGUUGAGCUAAACGGAUGAUGAGUCCCUAGUCCAUUUUCCUUCUGUCUUCCACAGCCUGGGAGAGAGCUGGGUUUCUUGAAUGUGACUUUCAUCCUGCAAUCCAUGACGAUCUGUGAAACCCCUGGCAAGAUGUCAUCCAUCUGGCUUUAAAUUUCAUCCCAUAGAUGGUCAUCUUCUACUCUAAGCAGGGGUCAAAUGACAGCACUGUCGUGGUGCUGGAUGCCUGUGAUACUUCGUGGUGACUUUUUCUAUUUAUUAAAAAAAAAAUCUAAGCUACGGGCCUACACUACAAAGUUCUAUUCUUAAAAGCCACCGUUGAGGCUUUGGUAUCCGGAAGUUCCAGAAGUAAUCUGUUUGAAAUAGGUAAAACGGUAAAAGCGUUAGUGUGCCGUUUCCCAUUUUUGCCACAGGAUGUCACAAUUCCUCCAUGUAUGGACCUGCCCAUCACAGGCUCUAACCUGGGUGCCACCAGUUCAGCUCUUGCACCCAAAUGUGAACUGAUAUAAAACUGAUUCAGACCUAUCCAAGGUAAUCCCUUGGAUUCCUGUUUGUUCCCUGUCCAUUCUCUGUUCUACACGGUUUACUAUCUCUGUAUAAUAAACAUCUUUUCCAGGUGUGUGAUUCAAAAGAAGUGGGAAAGCAGCAGCACAAGGCUACAGUCAAUGUCAUUGCUGUUUUUAAUCCAGAAGAAGGGAGCCUUCCUUCCAGCCAGCAAAGAGGAGGAGGAAAAUGUGGUCACUAUUCCCAUCAGAAAGCAGAGGGAGACUGCACACAGAACUUGCUGAUGCAGAUUUUGCAGUGUUGCAUGUAUGGCAAAUUCCUGUCUUUACUAAUGUUUGGAUAUGCUUUCAAUGGACAGUGACAAGGAGGGACAUAACAUCAAAGUGAUGAAAGUCCUAAACCUAGCACAAACUGCAUGUUUGUGUGAAUUCGGGAAAAUCGUAUUUUGGUCAACAAGUGCAACCUGUACAUGUUCCAGAUCCUCACACCUGGCUGCAUGGCCUCACAGUGCAUGUGUGCUGAACCAGGAGGCUCAGGUGUGGGUGCAGCUCACCUGAACAGUCUUGCCAGAGAAAUGGCACAGUAACAGGGUACUGAGCAGAGAUCCAUGGAUAAUUCAGUAGGUGACUGAUUAGGUGAGUGUUACAUGACACUUUCUGCUUCUCAUUGUUCUUGUUGGUGUUCCUACAAUUUUGGACCCCCUUAAUACACGGUUUCUGGGGUCAGUGGUACAUGAGCUGGUAGUCAUCAUCUCCCCCUACCAGAAUUAACUUUUACCCAGCUGGAGCUAUUUUAACACAAUUGCUGAGUUUGCUUUAUUACUUUCUUAUCUUGGGAGCUCUGCCAGAUGUCCCUGUGGCCUGUAAAUUCUGCAUUCUUUGUGUCCGGUAUCAGUGCACAUCCUUCUUUCCAAGAUUUGUAACUUUCCCCCCAGAUCUGAGAUCACUGAAGCAUGGACAGCAAAAGAACAGAUCCUCUGUUUUCCCCAUUGGCUGAGUAGGAAGAAAGAGGUUUAGGUGGCUGGCCACAACUUCCAGCGCGGAGCCCGGCCCUGGCGGAGCCCAGGGCGUCACUCGCUGCUCUUGCUGACUGCAGCGGCUGCCAGCGGCUCUCGCCUGACGGCGCCAUUUUUCCUCCCCGCCGCCCGCUCCCUCCUUCCCCUUCUGGCUCCUUCAGUACGGAGUGUCCCUGCUAAAACG